GCUAUUAUUGUUUCUGUUUCAGUGUGAGAGAGUCACAGACUUUGGGACAGGUUUCAGAGCAGG
rnacentral:tRNA from 1 species